AGACAAACCUUCCUUUUCGGGGAAGGGAACAGGUUUAGUUUCAGAAGUUGUAGAAUCGAACAGAACAUACAGGUCUCCAUCCUGAAGGUCUUAAAGAUGGAUCAAAUCCUCAUUUUGAGCUGUGUCAUCCCACUCUGACCGUUCUUGGGCCCCAGUGCUUAAAUCUAUCAUUUGUUAGUAAAGCCUCCCACUGUAAAUGAGUUGUGCUUUACCCUGCUGUCAUUGGAGUCCACCUGCCAUGACAGAGCACAGUUCUGCUUCUUUCCCAAGUUCUGCCUUUGGGACUCUACUGUGAAUCUGAUGCAGUUUCUAAAAUAAUUUUGUAAUAAAACUUCAGGAGUUGGGAGGAGCAAGCUUCCUUCUUCUGUGUAUCAGCUUGUUUAGAGAACUGCUCAGUAUUUGUAUGUUUGCUGAUGCCUGUUUUUUGAAUACUGUGCUCCCUAAAGAAUCACUACAGCAGUGUUGCCGUUUGAUACAUGUAAAUAAAUUUUUUUUUCUCCUGCUUAUUUCCUGUUCUCUUAAUUUUAUGGAACUAUCUAGCACUUAAACUCAAGCUUGGUUAUGUGCCUAUGCAUGGCAGAAAGAUGGUCUCUGGUCCAAGCAUGUUAUGAUAUUGAUCCCUGGUAGCAGGGAAUAGAAAAGAGGACUGACAUCCCUUCCCCCUCCCCCCCAACCUCUCAAAAUAUGUCUUAACUACUGAGUCAUGGUGCUUCUCCAGCUCUCUUGCUUGGGGAAUGUUUCAUUUUUUUUGCUGGACAGUUUUGACAGGAGUGGAGAGCUCUCCUGACUUAUAAUCUUUAGCUUUGUUGGUUAGGACAUUGUCUGUACUGUUCUGGCAGAUGUGAGGUUUGGUCCCCUCAGUCUGCGGAGGAUAAGCUCAUGCUUCCCCCUUCCUCAUAUGGUUAUCACUAGACUAUUAUACAACAUUUUCCAGUCUAGGCGCAUCUUAAAAGUAGUGACCAAUGCGUCCUUUGAAAGUUGACCAUCCUGUGGCUUGCACGGUCAGCCCAUACCCAAGGAAUCGAGUCAAGACAUAACUGGAAGACUGCCUAGUGUCCAGAUCUGAAUGGGGCUUGUGUACAAGAAGGGCCAAGUUGCUCAGGCUGGGACAGUUCUGGGUAUGCCCAGAAAGAGAAUUUGUGCCAUGUGGGGAGCUUGGAAGUUACCUCCACGGUUUAGAUUGGUAUGAGGGAGAUUUUUGGAUUUAAGUGGCUCACUUCUAUAUAAGUCUGUCUCCUGCUGGAUCUGUCCCAGAAUGACUUUCUACUUGGCAUAUUACAAGAGCUAGUUCUGAAGCACCACAAACAGAAUGACCCUCUUAUUUAUGUUACAUGCAUUAUGAUUUUGAGCUUUGCUAUAUAAUUUCUCCCUUUCAAAAUAGUGGGGAAAACAAAAUAUAAGAACCCUUCAGCUCUAUUAUAAUCCCUGCCUUGUAUUUCAGUGGAAGAAAUGAAAUGCCACAAUCCAAUGCAGUUCUGUUCAGUGUUAAUGGAUUGUAUUUAUUGUCCUGAAAAUUUGAUUAUCUUCUACAUUUUGUUUUUAAUUUCCACAUGGGAGGCUUAUUUGACAGCAUAGAGAACAGAAGGGCCUCUGGUGAUGGAUGCACCUUAGUCGGUGCAGAAAUUUUCUUGUGUCUCUGGCGUGAUGCAGUUGCAGUGGCUGCUUUGGGAAAGUCAUGCUGUCAACAGAGGAAGAAUUAAGGAUUCUAUUUUAAAGGAGCAAACUGUGAGAAAAUAAGAGAAAUUGUAAAUGCAGCCAACUGAAGAUGGAGGAAAAUUGCACCUUAUACUUAAAAAUAUUCCAAAAACUGGCAGGAAUUUGUAACCUAAGUAAAGGAGACCAACUUCUAGCAUGAGGCUCUAGUUACCUAAACUCCUGAAACAAGAUAAUCGGUGUAAACUGAGCUCAAUCCCAAGGGGGGACUAAUCAGUAAAGAAAGCUAGGUCCUGGAGGUCAGAAAGUGUAAGGAGAAAGUGAGAAUUGUCAAAAUUUGAGCUGAGGUAGACUUUGCUCAGGGAAUUAAAAUAUAAAAGUUUCUUUAGUCAUAUACUAAUCAAAGAAAAGGAAAAAAAAAAAGA